CCUUGACAUCCAGAGAACUUAGCAGAGAUGCUUUGGUGCCUUCGGGAACUCUGAGACAGGUGCUGCAUGGCUGUCGUCAGCUCGUGUUGUGAAAUGUUGGGUUAAGUCCCGCAACGGGCGCAACCCUUAUCCUUUGUUGCCAGCGGUUCGGCCGGGAACUCAAAGGAGACUGCCGGUGAUAAACCGGAGGAAGGUGGGGAUGACGUCAAGUCAUCAUGGCCCUUACGGCCAGGGCUACACACGUGCUACAAUGGCGCAUACAAAGAGAAGCGACCUCGCGAGAGCAAGCGGACCUCAUAAAGUGCGUCGUAGUCCGGAUUGGAGUCUGCAACUCGACUCCAUGAAGUCGGAAUCGCUAGUAAUCGUAGAUCAGAAUGCUACGGUGAAUACGUUCCCGGGCCUUGUACACACCGCCCGUCACACCACGGGAGUGGGUUGCAAAAGAAGUAGGUAGCUUAACCUUCGGGAGGGCGCUUACCACUUUGUGAUUCAUGACUGGGGUGAAGUCGUAACAAGGUAAGCGUAGCGAG
rnacentral:rRNA from 1 species